GGCUUAUUGAGUAAUAAUUUUAAGUCAAUUCUGCCCAAUGAUUAUUAAAAAUUUAAUGGCUGCAGUAUAAUUGACUGUACAAAGGUAGCAUAAUCAAUUGUUUUUUAAUUGAGAACUAGAAUGAAAGAGUUAAUGAGAUAUAUACUGUCUCAUAUAUAUAUAAUUAAUUUAAAUUUUUAGUUAAAAUGCUAAAAUUAGUUUAUGGGACGAUAAGACCCUAUAGAAUUUGAUAUUAAUAUAUUGAUUAUAAUUUAAUUAUUAAAUAUUAAUAUUUUGUUGGGAGGAUAAGUAAAUUUAUUAAACUUUAUUUAAAAUAUUAACUUUAAUUAAAGAAUAAAUAUUUUUGAUCUUUUAAUAAAAAUUUAGAGAAUAAAUUACCUUAGGGAUAACAGCGUAAUAUCUUUUUAAAGAUCAUAUUGAAAAAGGUGAUUGCGACCUCGAUGUUGAAUUAAGAUAAAUUUUAAAUGAAGAAAUUUAAUAAUUAAGUCUGUUCGACUUUUAAAAUCUUACAUGAUUUGAGUUCAAAUCGACGUGAGU
rnacentral:rRNA from 1 species